rnacentral:rRNA from 1 species
UACGUAGGGCGCAAGCGUUGUCCGGAAUUAUUGGGCGUAGAGAGCUCGUAGGCGGCUUGUCACGUCGGGUGUGAAAGCCCGGGGCUUAACCCCGGGUCUGCACUCGAUACGGGCUGGCUAGAGUGUGGUAGGGGAGAUCGGAAUUCCUGGUGUAGCGGUGAAAUGCGCAGAUAUCAGGAGGAACACCGGUGGCGAAGGCGGAUCUCUGGGCCAUUACUGACGCUGAGGAGCGAAAGCGUGGGGAGCGAACAGG